ensembl:lncRNA
CCCUCCUCCUUCGCCUCCCUCUGCCUCGAAUUCCCUUUUGUUGCAGAGAAGCAACCAGGGCGUCUGAGUAAGGAGGCGAUGCCAGCACGAGGGUCUCAUUCCCCUCCUCCCAGAUCCCAUUCCAAUGACCCACAGACGGGAACACCAGAGGGAAAAGCCUGCCCCCCGCGCUGGCGCUGCGCACGGCUGGGACGGACACCGCAUCUCCAAGGCGCCGGACGACGAAUGGAAAGAAAAGGCCAGCUCAUGACUCACCCUCGGCGGAAGCGGGGCGGUGCGCAGACAGAGUAAGCGGCAGAGACACAGGCAGAAACCUGCUAAUAGCCCUUCGGUUCAAGGAGCCACCGCCGCCGACAGGAGGUUAGACCAUCGGGAGGUCAGGAGCACAUCUGGAUUCCUUCAACGUGUUUGAAAAGUAAACCAGAUUUUAUUUACAUUGGUGAAAAAGGAAUGCCGAGAAACGGAGUGCCAGGAGCUCGGUGGCUUUGCUCAUUAGUGCUGCUUGCUUGUGAAACCGGGCAGCGGUUUUGUCGUUCUGUUCGAGGACAUGUAAAGGAUGUGCUAAGAAAGAUGUCCACUAACAGGUGUUGGAAGCAGGAUUCAUGGUGGUUGCCUUUGGACCCUUUGUUGCCUUUUCUUUGAAAACUCUCAGUGCCAAGAACUAGAAUCGGGUGGCAGAAGAAUUUCCUUUCCGCAAAUGCUCUUCGCUGUAAAUGACAUUCUUUAUGAAGAAUAUAGAAUUUGUUCCUCUAAUGCUUAUUAUAAAUAGCACAAGAGAGCUUAGUAAUGAGGAUUCUGAGACACCGAUCAGGAGAACAGAAUCGAGAAAUUGCCUGGGAGCGCCACAACGGUCUAGGGGAUGGAAGAACCACAGCAUGAAGGCGCCUGGCUCCCUGGCUGACGGCACGGGGCAGGACUCCUCCCUCUUCCCUUCCCCACUUAACUGCCAAGUGGGCCUGAUGUGA